rnacentral:rRNA from 1 species
CCGGGGAUUGCCUCAGUAACGGCGAGUGAAGCGGCAACAGCUCAAAUUUGAAAUCUGGCUCCUUCGGGGCCCGAGUUGUAAUUUGCAGAGGAUGCGUCGGGUACGGGUGCCUUCCGAGUUCCCUGGAACGGGACGCCAUAGAGGGUGAGAGCCCCGUCUGGUAGGACACCCAGCCCGUGUGACGCUCCCUCGACGAGUCGAGUAGUUUGGGAAUGCUGCUCUAACGGGAGGUAUACUCCUUCCAAGGCUAAAUACCGGCUGGAGACCGAUAGCGCACAAGUAGAGUGAUCGAAAGAUGAAAAGCACUUUGAAAAGAGAGUCAAACAGCACGUGAAAUUGUUAAAAGGGAAGCGCUCGCUACCAGACUUGGGUUCGGCGGUUCAACCGGGGCCACGCCCCGGGGCAUUCCGCCGGCCCAGGCCAGCAUCAGCUUUCCGUCGGGGGUAAAGGCGUCGGGAAUGUGGCUCCCCUUCGGGGGAGUGUUAUAGCCCGUCGUGUCAUACCCUUCGGGGGGCUGAGGUACGCGCUUCUGCAAGGAUGCUGGCGUAAUGGUAGCUAGUGACCCGUCUUGAAACACGGACCAAGGAGUCAACCUUAUGUGCGAGUGCCCGGGCGUAAAACCCCAGCGCGGAAUGAAAGUGAACGUAGGUGAGAGCUUCGGCGCAUCACCGACCGAUCCUGAUGUCCUCGGACGGAUUUGAGUGAGAGCAUAUAGGGUUGGACCCGAAAGAAGAUGAACUAUGCGUGUGUAGGGUGAAGCCAGAGGAAACUCUGGUGGAGGCUCGCAGCGGUUCUGACGUGCAAAUCGAUCGUCAAACAUGCGCAUGGGGGGCGAAAGACUAAUCGAAUCUUCUGGUAGCUGGUUUCCGCCGAGUCUCCUCCCCGGAGAGAAAAAAGAGGGGGAAGUGAAACAUCUCAAAUAGGAAUGCUUAUUUACU